UACGUAGGGUGCAAGCGUUAAUCGGAAUUACUGGGCGUAAAGCGUGCGCAGGCGGCGGCUCAAGUCAGGUGUGAAAUCCCCGGGCUUAACCUGGGAAUUGCGCUUGAAACUAGGUCGCUAGAGUGUGGCAGAGGGGGGUGGAAUUCCGACGUGUAGCAGUGAAAUGCGUAGAGAUGUGGAGGAACACCGAUGGCGAAGGCAGCCCCCUGGGUCAACACUGACGCUCAUGCACGAAAGCGUGGGGAGCAAACAGG
rnacentral:rRNA from 1 species